UGUGAAUGGAAGGGAGACGCUUUGUUCCUUCUUGUUGUACCCCAGAGCAAGGAAGCCCCUCUAGCCAUCUCCACUCAGACAUGGCCUUGGAAACAGAAGGACUUUUCCCCUUUUUGGUGGUCCCGGGAAUUCAAACCCAGAAGGGGCUCCACACAGACUGGGCAAGAGCUCCAUGCGUGGGAUCCGCUGAACUACACCCCAGUCCAGAUGUUCCAUUGACUUCGAAAAGAGUAGACACAGAAGUGCAUGAAGAUGGAGUCUCCCCCACGCUGCACCCAGUGUCCACCAGAGAAUAUGCUUAUUACAGCAUUGUCUGCAGCGAAGGAAUCCUGGAAUCCAACUAAUUUC